GAUGAACGCUGGCGGCGUGCCUAACACAUGCAAGUCGAGCGAGAUGUAUAUGGACGAAACUUCGGUCUAGGAAAUAUAUUGACAGCGGCGGACGGGUGAGUAACGCGUAGGCAACCUGCCCUUAACACAGGGAUAGCCUCGGGAAACCGGGAUUAAAACCUGAUAAUGCCAAAUAGUCACAUGGCUGUUUGGCCAAAGAUUUAUCGGUUAAGGAUGGGCCUGCGUCUGAUUAGUUUGUUGGUGGGGUAACGGCCUACCAAGACUACGAUCAGUAGCCGACCUGAGAGGGUGAUCGGCCACAUUGGAACUGAGACACGGUCCAAACUCCUACGGGAGGCAGCAGUGGGGAAUAUUGCACAAUGGGCGAAAGCCUGAUGCAGCAACGCCGCGUGAGCGAUGAAGGCCUUUGGGUCGUAAAGCUCUGUCCUUGGGGAAGAAAAAAAUGACGGUACCCAAGGAGGUAGCCCCGGCUAACUACGUGCCAGCCGCCGCAGUAAAAC
rnacentral:rRNA from 1 species